AUACAUAGGGGGCAAGCGUUAUCCGGAAUUAUUGGGUGUAAAGGGUGCGUAGACGGGUGUUUAAGUUGGUUGUGAAAUCCCUCGGCUCAACUGAGGAACUGCAACCAAAACUGGAUAUCUUGAGUGUCGGAGAGGAAAGUGGAAUUCCUAGUGUAGCGGUGAAAUGCGUAGAUAUUAGGAGGAACACCAGUGGCGAAGGCGACUUUCUGGACGAUAACUGACGUUGAGGCACGAAAGUGUGGGGAGC
rnacentral:rRNA from 1 species